AGCGAACGCUGGCGGCAGGCCUAACACAUGCAAGUCGAGCGCCCAGCAAUGGGAGCGGCAGACGGGAGAGUAACACGUGGGAACGUGCCCUUCAGUUCGGAACAACCAAGGGAAACUUUGGCUAAUACCGGAUACGUCCGAAAGGAGAAAGAUUUAUCGCUGAAGGAGCGGCCCGCGUCUGAUUAGCUAGUUGGUGAGGUAAUGGCUCACCAAGGCGACGAUCAGUAGCUGGUCUGAGAGGAUGAUCAGCCUCACUGGGACUGAGACACGGCCCGGACUCCUACGGGAGGCAGCAGUGGGGAAUAUUGGACAAGUGGGCGCAAGCCUGAUCCAGCCAUGCCGCGUGGAUGAUGAAGGCCCUAGGGUUGUAAAGUCCUUUCGUUGGGGAAGAUAAUGACGGUACCCAAAGAAGAAGCCCGGCUAACUUCGUGCCAGCAGCCGCGGUAAU
rnacentral:rRNA from 1 species